rnacentral:rRNA from 1 species
AGCGUAGGUGGCCUAACAUGUCAACUGUGAAAACCCGGAGCUCAACUCCGGACUUGCAGUUGAAACUGGUAGGCUUGAGGACGGUAGAGGAAGACGGAACUGCCAGUGUAGGGGUAAAAUCCUUAGAUAUUGGCAGGAACGCCGGUGACGAAGGUGGUUUUCUGGGCCGGUUCUGACACUGAUGCUCGAAAGCCAGGGGGAGCGAACGG